AGAACUUAGUAAAGAAGUGAAAAACUAAGUAUAAAUCCAAACAUUAAAAGGGGUUUCAAUUCAUAAUCUUGUCCUUCACUUUUCCACUCUAUCAAAACCAAAGGGUUGGUCUCAUUCGACCCCACCAUCGCUGUUCCAUACUCUCUGCUUUCAAAUCGAAAAUUUCUUCCCUUCUCACCAACCAAUUACAAAGGGUAAAAGAAAAUGAGCAAGGCACCAAGUUGGUCUGAUCAAUGGGGGAAUGGAGGUUUUGGCAGUGACCACUAUGAGGUGGAGGAUGAGAAAGUGAAGAAGAGCAGUGGAAGCAGCAAGAAGAUGGCUGCUGGUAUGGACAAGGCAAAAGCUGCAGCCAUUGUUGGUGCUGACAAGGCUAAAACUGCUGCUGUUGUGGGUGCCCAGAAGGUGAAGAGUGGAACCUCUGCUGGAAUCAAAUGGGUCAAAAAUCAGUAUCAGAAAAGGACUUCCAAGUGAAGUUUCACUGAGACAGUUUCAGUUCAUAGCUUUGGUAAAUAAUACAUGAUGAUCUAGUAAAGUGUUUUGCUUGUUUGUGUGCAAUUUCCAGUACAACAAUUCAGAUGAACUUGUUAUUUGUAUUUUUCAUUUGUUUGUAGAAAAUUGUUGGAUGUUGAUCUUGUUAUUAGUUUACCUUGAAUCUUUCUGUGACUGCAGGGUGAUGAUGCUUUACAAAUAUUAUAUUGUGAGUUUUAGA